rnacentral:lncRNA from 1 species
GCUGGCAAUACUUAAUAUAAGACACAGAUAAAAAGACUUGUGCAGCUUACACAACCACCUGUUUCUCUGCUUGGAACUCUCCACUAUAUUUUAAGGCUAUUGCUUAUGUAAAACAGAACGCCUCCUAAGCCAUCGUUUACUAAACAAUCUCUGGCUUCUGAUCUCACGCUACACAAGAAGGUAAAUUGUAUUCUGUGUGAGAAGCUUUAAACGUGAGCGUAAUGGAAAGGGGAUAUUCAGUGAAACAAAGACACACCUCCAGAAACAACAAAGACAGUAAGUUUGAGCUACUUAAAUUUGAAUUUUCAUAGUUGAAAAGUAGAACUCAAACAUGGAAAAAAGACAUCAACUUUCAUUAGCCCCACAGGUAUUUAUUUUACCAAUUUGUAUUUUGCUUUUCUCUUCUCUUAGCAAACCUGUGUGGCAGUUUGUUGAACAGAGAAGGACAACUCUGCUCUGAAAAGAUGGAAUGCUUUUCUGAGAGAUCAGCUUCCAAAGGUGACAAUCUUGGGUCACAGCAGGGAUGCUGACUGCUCAGUCCAGAAUGCUUUUAAACAAGAGGGGAUUCUCAUAGCUAUGAGCCAUCAGUGAUGAAGUAAUGACCACAUCCAGUUGUGCUAUCAGUAAGAUAGGUUGCUCAGCUGCAGGCCAUACCUCUGACAUGCAAGCACACAGGCUGCAUGGCAUAGGCCUUAAGGGAUAUCCAGAAUUUCAGGCACACUGGUAAAUUUGUGCUUCAUGGCAAGUGUGAGAAUCUCGUCUUCAGUCUGCAGACCAACUCCAUGCAAAAAGCAUCUGUUUAUUAGAUGGUGGUGUCCAUCCACUGAUGUGUCAUAAAGUAGGCAAAUGUCAAAGUGUUUGUGUACUGUGUGUGGACAGAGAGUCUUGUGAUAGCCAUCAGCUGAGAGGGAGAAACCAGCUCAGUCCCAGGUUCCACAAAGGUGUAAGAGCUAUUCUUGCUUCUAUAGGCACAGAACACUCAGCUGCUGAGAAUUUGCUGACUCAGAGCUCUGCAAAACCUGACUAA